rnacentral:sRNA from 1 species
AAGGAGAGGGAGGGAGANAGAAUAGUCUGUAUCAGCAGUUCUAGGUGUGGUUGGUUUUGCCUCCUGCAUCUCCUCCAGCAGGGGUCUGUUAGGCAAUGGCUAGUGAAAUUGCUAUAAUGGUCAUUGAUGGUGGCUACUGCAUCUAUAUGGUAAAGGCCAGGAAUGCCACUGAACACUGCAUACUAUAGAUGGUAUCUCAAAAGAGCACUGGGCCUCAUAUAUCAAUAGUGUGCUGAGGCCGAGGAGCCCUGCUCUAUGCAGUCCUGUCUCUCAGGAUUAAAGUCUAUGCAGACUUGUUCUCAGAAGGAAAUGCUAACAUGAGUGGCUGAGGGCAUACCCAGAGCUCUCUGCUAACUAUAACUGUCACUCAAUUGUCUUUGCAGUGUCCCACAUCUGGGGUUGGAAACUGUAUUAGCGUGGCCUGGCCAGAGCCUGGUCAGCCCUCUCUGUCCUCAGUGCCUGUGUUCAUGGACUUGAUUCUGAAGAAGCAGGACCCAGGACUUCAGCCGUACCUGCUAGAGACUGCCUACACCCUGCACUUCAGGACCGCUCAUGUUCGUGACAAGGAUGGCCACUGCUCUCUUACCUGGUUCUACGUCUGGUGGUUGUGUGCCCCACCCCCACUCUGGUGUGUCAGCCCCAAGCGGCAGGAGCUCUGCAUGAGCGCUGAGCUAACAUGAAGUGCCAAAUGGGUCCGCUGCAGCACAGAGCCUGGACCUCCUUCGAUGGCAGCUGGAGGCCAGCUACAGGAACGGUGGGCGGAGAGUGGUAACCAGAGAUUCCUGCGCAUCAGCCAGCCCUUCAGGAAUGACUCCGGACCAGCACUGUGCACCUACUUACUGGAGGUGAGCCCAGCACCAGAGCCCACCCAUGCCCUAGAUGGAUGUCCUUUUGGGCUCUGGCUGCUGUGACAUAUGCAGACAUCAGGCAUGGUGACACCCGUUACCCAUCCUGUGAUCCGUGUCCUCUGUGUGCCUGUUCUGCCAAGGAGAGCAUAUGCUACCAUACCAUGUGCAGUCCAGGCUUGCUUUAGACGUCCUCAGCUGCCUGCUUUGAGGUGAAAUGCAGGCAGUGGUGGGAUAGGGCAGAUCCACACCAGUGAGCCCUGGCUGGAGGUGAGAGUUGGGGGCAUUCAGGCUUGGAGUGGUGACCGAUGGGCACUGGGGUUAUACUCACCAGCUUUCACUGCAGGUCCCUGAGAGGCAGCUGGACUGCCUCCCACAGACGUACCACCUGAGCCUCCGGCAGCCCCAUGUCAAAAGCAGCACAUACCUGCAGGUGCUAGUCAAUGGUCAGCUGCCCUUCAUGGUGGGCUUGCACUGGAAGGACACCUCCAGGGCCCCCUGUGGAGAGGAGAAGGGAAGUGCCAGCUUCUACUCUUGGCCCACUUUCCAUUCUACUUUGCUGUAGAAUGUCUGGCUGGUGGGAAGCUGUUCGGGGAGAAGGUGCAGCUCAGCAGAUGGUGUUUGGCCCGAACGCACAGGGUCCAGUCCCCAGCAUGUUAAACCAGACGUGGUGGUACAUGCCUGUAAUCCCCCCACUCAUGAGGCAGGAGAAUCAGAGUCCAAGACCAUUCAGGAAACUGGCAGGGUAACAGGCCCCAUCUAGAACCCAGGUUCUGCCACUCUGUGCCUCCCCCUGUCAGAACUGUGAUGUACAAGAACAGUAAAGCCAGGCACUGACAGGGAUCUCACCCGGUGUCAGUCAGUAUGGAUUGGCUGUGUUCUGUGUGCCAAGCCCUGAUCCAGGUUCAAAGAAAGUGGCAGAGACCAAAGAGAAAAGAAGGAGACUCUCUGAUCUCAGUACGCACACACACACACACACACACAUGGGUUAUCUCAAGUGACCAAGUCCUGCUGUGGAGGAGUGUGGGAUG